rnacentral:lncRNA from 1 species
CCACUUAGCUUAAAUGUGACUGCAGGGGAUCUGACCCUGGGUUCUUAACCCUUGCAGGGCAGACACUUUAACCUAAUGAACCAUCUUCUCAGCCCUUCUUUGUGAUGUUAAGAGCUGAUCCCAAGGCCUUACCACUAAUUAGUACAUCUCCCUCCCCCCACUUUUUUUUCUUUCCUUUUUUUUUUUUUUUUUUGCUUCAUAGACCAGGCUGGAAUUACUUUGUAGCCCAGGCUAUCAGGCUAUCCUGGAACUCAUAUCCCUCCAGCCUUUGCCUCCCAAGUGCUGGGAUUACUGGCAUGCACCACCACACCCAGCUUCAUAUCUCUUCGGAAAUACUCUGGGCCAGGAAUAUAAUGCUGGCAUAGACACACAGAUACAACCAGGCAUCCUGAAACCGUGGCUCUCAGUUCCUAGCGCCUCAGUGACUAUUUUGUGAGUUAAUGAUUGUGUACUGCCGUUGAUUUCCUUCCGGGUGACAUGCUGCUACUGCACUUUACUCUCGUGUUCACGGUUAAGGUUAGCCAGGGGACACAGGCAACCACUUGGCACAUUAAACAACAGUGGGUUCUGAUGGGGGAGCGUCCCCCCGGCCACACACUGUCUCUCUCCUUGCAGGAUGAACAGCAGCAAGAGAUGGCCGCCUCUGCUGCCUUCAUUGAUCAGCACUACGGACACCUGAUAGACACCGUGCUCGUACGGCAGGACCUGCAGAGUGUCUGC